CCUAUCAGCUAUUGGCUUUAAAUUAGCAGAACUAAAACUGCUUAAGUGAUAGGACAUUCCAUAGAAAGAAUUGCCCUAAGAAAUUCUAAGUUAAAUUAAUUUUAGAUUUGAAAACCAGUUCUCUGUGCUAGUAAAGGUAAAAUUAAUUUAACUUUGCAAAAUGUAAAAAGUUAAAAAAUUUAGAUGAAGACUAUCAAAGCUUAGGGACUUGAUAGUUUUUG
ncrna:unclassified sequences FuFi-1 RNA